UGCGGCUUAGGCUUUAUUUCUGU
rnacentral:piRNA from 1 species